AACGAACGCUGGCGGCAGGCUUAACACAUGCAAGUCGAGCGCCCCGCAAGGGGAGCGGCAGACGGGUGAGUAACGCGUGGGAACGUACCCUUUGCUACGGAAUAGCUCCGGGAAACUGGAAUUAAUACCGUAUGUGCCCUACAGGGGAAAGAUUUAUCGGCAAAGGAUCGGCCCGCGUUGGAUUAGCUAGUUGGUGGGGUAAUGGCCUACCAAGGCGACGAUCCAUAGCUGGUCUGAGAGGAUGACCAGCCACAUUGGGACUGCGACACGGCCCAAACUCCUACGGGAGGCAGCAGUGUGUAAUAUUGGACAAUGGUCGCAAGCCUGAUCCAGCCAUGCCGCGUGAGUGAUGAAGGCCUUAGGGUUGUAAAGCUCUUUCACCGGAGAAGAUAAUGACGGUAUCCGGAGAAGAAGCCCCGGCUAACUUCGUGCCAGCCGCCGCCGUAACAC
rnacentral:rRNA from 1 species